GGAGCUGCCAUAUUGCCAAAUUUUUGUGCUGACAAGGUGGCUGCAUCGGUGCCGGCAGUUUCAUCAAAGCCAUGAGUUCAGAAGCGGCCCGAUUUUCCACUGAACUAUUGAUUUCACUUGUGCGGCAGGAGCCGGCACUGUGGAAUCAGCGCUCGGCAACGUACAGAAAUGCAGACGCACGUGCGGAUGCCUGGAGACGAGUCGUCAGCACGCUAGGCCUUGCUUUGACAGAUGAAAAUGUGAAGCUUGCGUAUAAUAGAUGGCGCAAUUUGAGGGACACAUUCUCCAGGAAACUACGAGAGCUGAAGAAAAAGAGCGGAGCCGGGUGGUCCUCCUCUUCUUGAAGGACGUCACCGAGCCACGUCCCACAAGCAGUAACCUGGACGAAGAGAGCGGAGAUGCCACCGACGAUGCAGCAGUGGUGUUUGCAUCAAUGUUGCCCCCUCGGUGUGCCAGUGCUCAGAGCGAAAGUAAUUAUUGCUCUGACAUACGAGACCACACCAUACCCGCUUCUCCCACUUUAGAUGACAGUAACUUUUUCUUUCGACCUAUUUCUGCUCCCCUUCUUCCCACCCUUUCCACACAACCGUCCACCUCAACACCUGUCCUGUCUACCCCUUUAACGCCCAUCCCACUAUGUCACACGCGACGCACAACACAAACAAAGAAAACAAACAAAAGAAAACAAGCAGCCAGCUUGCUGGAUAAAGUUGAUGAGGAAUUUAAAAACGAGAAAGAAAACAGAACAGAGCAAUUUUUACUUUUGCUGGCAGAGCACAUGGACAAGGUGCUUGAACACCUCAGGGGGCAAUGCACCUACUUGAAGUGCUAAUGCACUAAGAAGUAGGACAAGUGCCAACUGUAUUGUCGACGAUCCAAGGGCCGGCUGAAGCAAGCCAACAGUAAUGAGUGCUGCCAGAAGUAUUGUAAAUAAAUUUUUUUGAUUUUUUUU